GCCUUGAUGGUGAAAUGGUAGAUAUGAAAGACUCAAAAUCUCGUUCUUAAGAGCGUGGAGGUUUGAGUCCUCUUCAAGGAA
rfam:Picea glauca, whole genome shotgun sequence.